GUCUAUGGCCAUACCAAGAUGAACACGUCCGAUCUCCUCUGAUCUCGGAAGCUAAGCAGGGUCGGGCCUGGUUAGUCCUUGGAUGGGAGAAUGGUAUUGGACAAUCAGACCGUGCAGUUC
ensembl:rRNA 5S_rRNA 5S ribosomal RNA